GCAGAGCAUCUUACCGGCGGGAGGAGAUGGAUCCCGCCUAGCUGCUCCCACAUCAGAUCGCCGACGUUCUUGCAGACUGACCGGCGCCGCCAACUACUUCCGUUCUGAUCUCCGAAGCUACUCUACAGUUGGAAGCUUUGGUUGGUAACCUAGAAGAUGCAACAUUUUCCAUCGUUAGACAGGCCUCGAAGUUGAACCUGUCAUCAGUACUUCGACGGGCAUCAAAUCGUUUCAGUUUCCAAAAGCCUUCGUAGCCACUGCUCCCGUCUACGUCUACUGUCACACAUGUCGCUGCAAUUUCUACCAGUGAUGGCACCUGUGAUGUGUGCUCGCGUCUGAUGUUGGUCAAAAGACUGUUUGUUGUUGACUGGUGUAACCUGUUAUGAUAUUUUGUAGUGUCAUGGUUGCUCAGAAGUUGCAAGGUUCACAUGUUAUGUUGUCUGUGAUGAGAAUUGUGACAACAUGAGUUCCUUUUCACUGUAUCCUGGAUUUUGGACUUUCA